AUCCAGCUGACGAGUCCCAAGUGGGACGAAAACGCACGUUCUGAAU
rnacentral:hammerhead_ribozyme from 1 species